ACUGGAGUUUGAUCCUGGCUCAGAUUGAACGCUGGCGGCAUGCUUUACACAUGCAAGUCGAACGGUAACAGGCCGCAAGGUGCUGACGAGUGGCGAACGGGUGAGUAAUGCAUCGGAACGUGCCCAGUCGUGGGGAUAACGCAGCGAAAGCUGCGCUAAUACCGCAUACGAUCUAAGGAUGAAAGCGGGGGUACCGAAAGGCCUCGCGCGAUUGGAGCGGCCGAUGUCAGAUUAGGUAGUUGGUGGGGUAAAGGCUCACCAAGCCAACGAUCUGUAGCUGGUCUGAGAGGACGACCAGCC
rnacentral:rRNA from 1 species